CGCGUCGACACUGGAUACGGUGAUGUGAAAUUGUGCAAUGUAUUAUUUGAAGGUUUGAGGAUGGAGUGGUGGUGGGUAGUGCCGUAACCAGGUUGGAGAAAGGGUGGACUACUAUAUGUAUGGGGCUGUGCAAUGGACUGUGUUGAGGAGAAGAAGCAGCAGCAGCGGUGGUAGUUGUUGAAGUCCAGAAGACGUGAUUGGUGUGUGAUAAUCCAGAGGGACAUUAACGCUCGACUGAAUGUUGGAAAUGAGAGGCAGUAAAGGUGUAAGUAUUGUUAUUGAAGUUGUACGUAUACUUUGUUAUAAUUUGAAGAGUAGAGCAUUUGUAACAUUGACGUAUUGUUUUUUGUUUUCAUGUUGGUGGUGGAGGAGCGCGUCGACACUGGAUACGGUGAUGUGAAAUUGUGCAAUGUAUUAUUUGAAGGUUUGAGGAUGGAGUGGUGGUGGGUAGUGCCGUAACCAGGUUGGAGAAAGGGUGGACUACUACAUGUAUGGGGCUGUGCAAUGGACUGUGUUGAGGAGAAGAAGCAGCAGCAGCAGGGGCGGCGGCGGUAGCAGCAGUGGCGGCAGUUGUUUAAGAUAAGUAGUGUGGUGUGGUGCAUCGUGAAUUGUUUGUGAUAGUUUAGGGUCAUAGUGAA